rnacentral:rRNA from 1 species
UAGGGAAUCUUCCGCAAUGGGCGAAAGCCUGACGGAGCAACGCCGCGUGAGUGAUGAAGGGUUUCGGCUCGUAAAACUCUGUUAUUAGGGAAGAACAAAUGUGUAAGUAACUGUGCACAUCUUGACGGUACCUAAUCAGAAAGCCACGGCUAACUACGUGCCAGCAGCCGCGGUAAUACGUAGGUGGCAAGCGUUAUCCGGAAUUAUUGGGCGUAAAGCGCGCGUAGGCGGUUUCUUAAGUCUGAUGUGAAAGCCCACGGCUCAACCGUGGAGGGUCAUUGGAAACUGGGAAACUUGAGUGCAGAAGAGGAAAGUGGAAUUCCAUGUGUAGCGGUGAAAUGCGCAGAGAUAUGGAGGAACACCAGUGGCGAAGGCGACUUUCUGGUCUGUAACUGACGCUGAUGUGCGAAAGCGUGGGGAUCAAACAGGAUUAGAUACCCUGGUAGUCCACGCCGUAAAACGAUGAGUGCUAAGUGUUAGGGGGUUUCCGCCCCUUAGUGCUGCAGCUAACGCAUUAAGCACUCCGCCUGGGGAGUACGACCGCAAGGUUGAAACUUAAAUGAAUUGAC